UCGGUCACAUGAAAAAACUCACAUGGGACGACGAGGAUGCGAGUUGAAAUGCGCCGCGACGCGCAGCGACGCCAGCGACCUUCCGCCGUGCUCCCUGACCGACCGACUGCUGGCACAGCGUACUGCGACUACUGCGUAGAGUACGUAGCUGCGUGAGUCACGUGACUGGCGCGUGGCCGCGCCUGCGCGCCGCUGCGCCACUACCACCGCUGCUACGCAGUAGCAGCAGUCGGUCGGUCAGGGAGCACGGCGAAAAGUCGCUGCGCGUCGCGGCGCAUUUCAAUUCGCGUCCUCAUUGUCCCGUGUGAGUUUUUCACAUGCGAGCGAGUGUUUCGAGAGUACCGUGGAGUGUCAGGCGUUCGUGCCAAUAUCCGUUAUGUCGGAUACGAUGCAUGGUGCGAAGACGUAUCCAGUCGUGUCACGUUCAAUCGUAUUUCGCAUUUUCUGAGGAAACGUCACGAUCAGCCUCAGUUCGGUUUCUGAUUCGACUCGCGUCGUAUCCACGCGGUGUCGAUAUGAAGUUUGUAUCUCUCGGACGCGUCGUCGGUUUAUCGGUUUGUCGAAAUAAAGUGAGAACCAGAACGAAAGAGCACAACAACCAACAACACGGCGAUUUUUACUCUCGGGAGCGUCCAACCAAGUAUCGCGGGUGUUGUACGUGCAUACGUCGUGUAACGGUUCGCUUUCGGUCGUGUUUCCGCGAGUGUUCAUCUUCGCUGAGAGUACAGUCGGCUGCGAGGAAAGCCCUCCUUGGCACUCUUUGGGACGAGCUGGAGGAGACUUGAAAGGCGUAGCUAGCGUUAAAUUCAUUGACUGAGCAAUCGUGUCGUUGGUAGAAGCAGAUCGCCAGUCGCCCCCGAGCGCGUCCGAUAUAUCCAUUAUUGAUUGCGGAUCGCGAGAAGCUAAUUCGCCGAUAGGAGGCUCGAGCGGCCCCUCCCCCCAGGAAUGGGCUCAAGGAUCCCUUGCCAAGGAUCCAUCCUUCCCUGUCGUGGAAGUGAUGGUGCGUGUCGCGCGUCGCGUGUCGCGGACGGUAAACGGGACGAGUGGCGCGUUUCGCUAAUUGCGUCGUGUGUGAGGGAGACGUGUUUCGAAGGUGCGUAUCGAAAGCGCGAAGGAUGUAAUGUGGUGAAAAGUACUUGGAAGUGCCUCGGACAUUCCGUUACAAUUCGGAACGAUUUGGCGAAAAUUCCAUGGUACGUACGCGCGGCGAGCAGCAACGUUUUUUCUCGCGCGAUUUCGGAGCAUCUUCCGAUGAUGCCAAGUGUAACUGGUGGUCGCGGACGACGUCGCGGUGGUUCGCGUCCUGGUGAAACGAAACGCCUCGUCGCCGCCACCGCCGCCGUCGUCGCGGAAUGUCGCGUCGUGUGUGAGCGAGACGUGUUUCGUACCGGGUAAAGGACGAGAAGGACGCGUGUGGAAAAGUGCAUAUCGAAAACACUGAGUGAAAAAAGUGACGUGUGAUGAAAAA